rnacentral:misc_RNA from 1 species
AAAACCAUAGACCCAUACGGGUUUGUAUUGGGCAUUGCCUCCUGGCAUAGCCUCAAAGACAUUGGUCUUAUACGCGGACGAGCUCCAUUAGGACAGACCGUGUCAGGACUCUAAAACAUCUG